CGGACGGGUGAGUAAUGUCUGGGAACUGCCCGAUGGGAGGGGAUAACUACUGGAAACGGUAGCUAAUACCGCAUAACGUCGCAAGACCAAAGAGGGGACCUUCGGGCCUCUUGCCAUCGGAUGUGCCCAGAUGGGAUUAGCUAGUAGGUGGGGUAACGGCUCACCUAGGCGACGAUCCCUAGCUGGUCUGAGAGGAUGACCAGCCACACUGGAACUGAGACACGGUCCAG
rnacentral:rRNA from 1 species